GACGAACGCUGGCGGCGUGCCUAAUACAUGCAAGUAGAACGCACAGUUUAUACCGUAGCUUGCUACACCAUAAACUGUGAGUUGCGAACGGGUGAGUAACGCGUAGGUAACCUGCCUGGUAGCGGGGGAUAACUAUUGGAAACGAUAGCUAAUACCGCAUAAUAUUAAUUAUUGCAUGAUAAUUGAUUGAAAGAUGCAAUUGCAUCACUACAAGAUGGACCUGCGUUGUAUUAGCUAGUAGGUGAGGUAACGGCUCACCUAGGCGACGAUAAAUAGCAGACCUGAGAGAGUGAUCGGCCACACUGGGACUGAGAAACGGCCCAGACUCCUACGGGAGGGAGCAGAAGGGAAUCUUCGGCAAUAGACGAAAGUCUGACCGAGCAACGCCGCGUGAGUGAAGAAGGUUUUCGGAUCGUAAAGCUCUGUUGUAAGAGAAGAACGGGUGUGAGAGUGGAAAGUUCACACUGUGACGGUAUCUUACCAGAAAGGGACGGCUAACUACGUG
rnacentral:rRNA from 1 species